rnacentral:rRNA from 1 species
CCUACGGGGCGCACCAGUAGGGAAUCUUCGGCAAUGGACGAAAGUCUGACCGAGCAACGCCGCGUGAGUGAAGAAGGUUUUCGGAUCGUAGAACACUGUUGUUAGAGAAGAACAAGUAGGAGAGUAACUGCUCUUACCUUGACGGUAUCUAACCAGAAAGCCACGGCUAACUACGUGCCAGCAGCCGCGGUAAUACGUAGGUGGCAAGCGUUGUCCGGAUUUAUUGGGCGUAAAGCGAGCGCAGGCGGUCUUUUAAGUCUGAUGUGAAAGCCCUCGGCUCAACCGAGGAAGGUCAUUGGAAACUGGAGGACUUGAGUGCAGAAGAGGAGGGUGGAAUUCCAUGUGUAGCGGUGAAAUGCGUAGAUAUAUGGAGGAACACCAGUGGCGAAGGCGACUCUCUGGUCUGUAACUGACGCUGAGGCUCGGAAGCGUGGGGAGCAAACAGGAUUAGAUACCCGGGUAGUC